UUCUAUCUUGAGAUCUCCCCUCUUGGAGUUCUUCUGUGAGCCCAGGACAUGGGCCAUUCAGGAUCCUCUGGUAAAUAAUCCUUGUUUCAUGAAGCACUGUUACAACCAAAAUCAGAUAGAAGAUCUGUACAGAGGAGCGUCUACCCAGCAACUUUUCCAACUGAAAAAGGAAAGAAAAGGCCAGCAGCACCCUGAUAUAUUUUGUGGCUUCCACUCAAAUAAAUGUCAGUGCGGUUCCUGAAACAGCAGUAAUUCUGCUCAGAAGAAAAAUGGGAAAGGAAAACACAACAGCUUUUUUGGAGUUACCAAUCCCUACAGAGGACAAAGGAUGUUGACAUUCAGAUCCUGAUAAUGAGCAUGACAUUUUCACAGCUACAUUAUCUUCUCAAAAUGUCAGAACAGGGUACUCCAGUCACAACACAUUAUUGCAAAACAAUCAGGGCACUCAGAGGGGAUCUGCUGUUCCAUUCCCUCACACCAGUUUUAUGUCAGUUUGACUUCACUUACAUUAAUGAAAUUGUAAAACAAAAAGGAAAAGGAAUGCAGAAGAGGAUUGUACCCAAUAAUGAUUUCUGAAUUUCUGGGAAACAUUUCCCUACAUAAUAUAUUAUAAGUAUUGUAAGAGCUGUUAACAUGAUUAUGUUUUAGUAAGAAAUGUACUCAGCCACUCUCUAUUUUUUCAGACAGGGCAAUAGAUGGGACUUUUCUGAUAUCUAAACCAAAACUGACAUUUUCUCUGGUGAUUGGUACCUCUGUAAAUGACCCUGAAAAUUUAAGCUAGACUUGAAGAAAGACAUUUGCAAACUGGUAAGCAGAAACUGAAAAGUACAAGCAGAAAAUAAAGAAUCAAAC
ensembl:lncRNA